GAUGAACGCUGGCGGCGUGCCUAAUACAUGCAAGUCGAGCGAACGGACGAGAAGCUUGCUUCUCUGAUGUUAGCGGCGGACGGGUGAGUAACACGUGGAUAACCUACCUAUAAGACUGGGAUAACUUCGGGAAACCGGAGCUAAUACCGGAUAAUAUUUUGAACCGCAUGGUUCAAAAGUGAAAGACGGUCUUGCUGUCACUUAUAGAUGGAUCCGCGCUGCAUUAGCUAGUUGGUAAAGUAACGGCUUACCAAGGCAACGAUGCAUAGCCGACCUGAGAGGGUGAUCGGCCACACUGGAACUGAGACACGGUCCAGACUCCUACGGGAGGCAGCAGUAGGGAAUCUUCCGCAAUGGGCGAAAGCCUGACGGAGCAACGCCGCGUGAGUGAUGAAGGUCUUCGGAUCGUAAAACUCUGUUAUUAGGGAUGAACAUAUGUGUAAGUAACUGUGCACAUCUUGACGGUACCUAAUCAGAAAGCCACGGCUAACUACGUG
rnacentral:rRNA from 1 species